rnacentral:pre_miRNA from 1 species
AGCCAGCGCAGAUUGGUGUGCCCCAGCCGGCUCUGGGCGGGUAUCUCUUUGAGCUUCUCAGGCUCAAGCAUGAUUAGGAGG